UCUAUAUCCUGAAUUAAUAUAUUUCUGUAAAGCUUCAUUGGGACAAUGUCCAUCGUUAAAUGCGCUAUACGAAUAAAACUGAAUUGAAUUUAUUAUUUUUAUAAAAACAUUUUUUAUAUAAAUUACUAUUACAAAUGAAAUUGUGAAUUCAGUUACAACACGACUUAUAAUGGUACCUCAUUCAAUGUAAAACGGAAAAAAAUUCAAUCUGGCAACUUAAAUCUUACCCGGAUGUCAACCUCAGCAGCGAGUUGCCGCCCUUCGAGAACUUCUUCUCUGAUCCUCAAACCUCAGCUUGACCUCUUUCUUUCUUAAACAGUAAAUAUUAGUCUCGUUACUAGGACUAGUCACACGUUAAGAAAUCUUCCAAACGCCUGAAAGUCGAAACAACGCUGUUAAAUUAUUGUAUGAAUUUGUCCCUAAUGAGCAAAGCCAGAGGCGACGGUAGUGAGGAAAACCCCCCUGAGAUGAUAGGAAGAAGAAACCUUGAGAGGAACCAGAACUCAAAAGGGAACCUGUCCUCAUCUGGGUGACACCGGAUAGUAGGAGGAAAAAGAAUCAGCGACAAAAAAAGGUGAGGGCGAGUGCGGAAAAGAGAGCUGGAAAAACAUCAUCGUGAGAGGUGUGUCCUUUAAGGUAGGAUGUAAGCCAUCAGCUGAGUGAACACAUGUGCAUGCCUGUUCAUCUCUCUCUCUCUCUCUCUCUACUGUAAGAACAAUAAUAAUGUAGCGAUCUGUAAAUCCCCAUGGUGUUCUCGUUGUUGUUAGAAUUUAAUUUCUAAAAUGUUACUAGAACAAUUAAAGAAUUUUUUUAAUGUUCCGAUAUACAGUAAGCCAGAAACAGUUCAUAGUAAUAUACAUCAGUCAUCUAACAGCAACAUCAUGGUAAACAAAUGUGCGCCAGUGAUAUGCAUAUGAUUUAAUAUGAAGUGUCCGUAACGUGUAUGUUCGUAACGCAUUAUUAUGGUUGCUCAGCGCAAAGAUGGGAGAUGAGUUGUUGAUCAUAAUUAGCAUGGACAUUAGGCUAAUUAUGAGUUAGGCUUUGUACAGAAAGUUUUUAGUUAUUUGUAUUAGUAAUUAUUAUAUGAUAUAAACCUAAUCUUGAAAAUGUUACAGACGUGACACAGCACUAAAGCAUCAUGACUUCCUAAAUAUAGCCCUUAUGAAUUCAAAAUGCAUCGCUGUUAUGACAAAGUGAGUGUAUUUAUUUCUCAGACAUUUGUCCAUUGUUCUGCAAAAUGCUUAUUGUUAAUAUAAAGUUUUUAAAAAGGAGUGUUUUGAACCCUCUUUUGAAAACAUGAAAUAUGGCUGGUUGAAAAUGUCGUUUUAGUAUUGGUGCACACCUCAUACCUGGUGGAUGAACAUGACAAUUUUCUUAACAUUUCUAUUACAGCACAUUACAGUCAUGGCCAAAAGUUUGCGAUCACUAUACUACAUAUUAUAUAUGUAUAGUGAUCGCAAACUUUUGGCCAUGACUGUAAUGCAGUAAAAUACAGACCUAAAUGGACAACUUAAAAAGGGGGUUGUUCUUUUGUUAAGAAAUUCAUUUUUAAAAGGUAAGGUUGACAUUUGCAUGGAUUAUAACAUGUUGUUAUAGGAAAAUAAUCCAAUUUGGGGUGGUAACAGUAACUCCGGGUUACAUCGGGCCACAUCACACCACCCUGUUGAUGAUUAUUUUUCUAUAACAGCACCCGUUGUGUUUUAUGAUGACUUAUUUGUUACUCUGAUUGAGCUAUGUCUAUAUCAACCAAUGACUGCUUUUACAACCUUGUGUUAAUGUAGUGCACGUUGUAAUAACUAGUACUCUGGGGUAACCAUAAGACAACUUAUUGCAGUGAUAGAAUUAUUUUAAAAGUGACAAUUAUUUGGGUUUAGAUAUCAUGGCUGUAAAGGCAGCUCCCUGGGAUAGGCUCCAGGUCUCCCCGUGACCCUGAAAGGAGUUAAGCGGUAUAGAAGAUGGAUGGAUGGAUGGCUGUAAAGGCAGUUUUUCAGUAAAAUAAACAAUUAAAACAAUAACGAAAUAUAACACUAAAUAUUUAUGGUGCUGAAAUCAUGCUUUAUUAAACCAAAAAUUCAUAAAACUCAAGGAGGCAGAAUAUAUAGGUAAUUCUACAUAUAUUAAUUGCUAUUGAAUCAAAGUGCAGGGUAUUGCAUUCAUGUGUUUUAUGUUUUCUUUGCACAGCAGAUGUAGUUACUGUGGUACACUGCUUGAAUACCCUGACAAAGUGAGAUCCUAACACUAACACACACACUAACAAAAAAAAAAAACAA